AUUAUUUCAAAUGUUACAGUUAUCGAUAUCAGAAGCAAAUCAUAUGUCUAUCACCAUCAGAAUUAUAUGUUGUAAUUCAAAUAAGACACAAAGGUUCACCUACAUUCAAGAGUUGCAGAUAUACCUACACUUUUGUUCGACUUUUGCCCAUUUGAUCAGCUGCCACAAAAAGCAAUUGAUUCCAAGCCACUCCUAGAUGUGAUAGGAGUAAUAUGUGAUGUUGGUCCAUAUGACUAUACUAUCCAAACAUCUCAGCACAAAUUUCGGAAGAUCAAAAUUCGCAACCUAGAAGAACAAACACAAGAAUUAGUUCUAUGGGGCCAGCAUGGAGAAUCAUUUGAUGAAGAAACAAUACUUAAAAAAUCUCAAGAAGGAAUUGUCAUAGCAAUUUUUGUUGGUGUAACUGCAACUCUACAAAGGUUUACACGUAACUUAUAA
rnacentral:rRNA from 1 species